UUUUACUUCAUGGAGCUUUUGAUGUGUGUGCUUUUGUGCUAGGAGUUUCCAUUUGAGCUUAAUUGGAGGACCAUUGCCAUGUUCAUCUAAGUGGAAGAAACAAGAUGCAUUGAGGAUCUCUUUUGAGACUUGUCUGAUUGCUUAUACUUUGUGGUUGCUUAUUCCAAAGGAUGGGAGCUACUUGGAUCAUCAAUAUGAUCUCAAGAGAGGGACUCCUAGUGUGGUUUCAUUUCUUUCCCUUUCCCUUUUAUUUUCCUUAGGACUUAGCCAUUCUUCUUCUUCUCCCCACUCUA
rnacentral:lncRNA from 1 species